rnacentral:rRNA from 1 species
GGAGGCAGCAGUGAGGAAUAUUGGUCAAUGGGCGCAAGCCUGAACCAGCCAUGCCGCGUGCAGGAUGACAGUUCUAUGGAUUGUAAACUGCUUUUAUACGGGAAGAAUAACCUGAACGUGUUCGGGGAUGACUGUACUGUAUGAAUAAGCAUCGGCUAACUCCGUGCCAGCAGCCGCGGUAAUACGGAGGAUGCAAGCGUUAUCCGGAUUUAUUGGGUUUAAAGGGUGCGUAGGCGGGGUAUUAAGUCAGUGGUGAAAGUCUGCAGCUUAACUGUAGAAUUGCCAUUGAUACUGGUACUCUUGAAUACAAUUGAGGUAGGCGGAAUGUGUAAUGUAGCGGUGAAAUGCAUAGAUAUUACACAGAACACCGAUUGCGAAGGCAGCUUACUAAAUUGUGAUUGACGCUGAGGCACGAAAGCGUGGGGAUCAAACAGGAUUAGAUACCCUGGUAGUCCACGCCGUAAACGAUGAUCACUGGAUGUUGGCGAUACAC